CAGUCGGACGCAUGCGGCAGUGGGAGCGGGGCGGAGCAUCGCGGGCGGAGCCGCAGGGAGCGGCAGUGGCGCUGAGCAGGCUGCAGCGGAAUGGCGGCGAGCACAGAGCGGCAGGCAGGCGGGCAGGGCGUUUCGGGCCAGAGGGAAGCCUCCCGCGUUCCCCGGCAGAGCUGCGUUCUUUGUCUCUCGCAGCAGAGGAGUUUGGGCAGCUGCAGGGAUGGAUUUGCCUGCACUCAAGCUGCUGCUGCCAGAGCCCCUCCGUGUCAAUCUGUGCUGCCGUUGGGUUCUGCAGCUCUCUCCAGCAAGCAUGGCAUGAGCUGAAGGAGCAGCAGGAGCAGCAUGGCCGUUCCCCAGGCAGCAGGAGGGUUCAGCCCAGCACCAGCUCAUGCGGGAGGAGCAGAUGCUGAGGAACAUCCCCCACGAGACGCAGGUGGCCAAAGAGGCUGGGUCAGGAUAAUGGAAUGGUGUGGAUUGAGAGAGCUUUAGAGAUCCUCUGGCUCCAACCCCCUUGCUAUGGGCAAAGGCACCUUACACUAGAGCAGGUUGCUCAAGACCCCAUCCAACCUGUCCUUGAUCAUCUUGGAGAGAGCAUCCAUGACUGUCCUGGGCAACCUGUUCUAGUGUUUCACCACUCUUACUGUCAAGAAUGUCUUCCUAAUCUCCUGUCUAAGUCUCCCCUCUCUCAGCUUCAAUCCGUUCCCUCUCAUACUGUCACUACAAGCCCUUGUAAGAAGUCCCUCCUGAGCUUUCUUGUAGGCCCUCUUUAGGUACUGGAAGGCUGCUCUAAGGUCUUCCCAGAGCCUUCUCCAUCCAGGUGUGUUUACCAAAUCAUUAUCUGUUGUCACAUAACCCUCUUAACUCGUAAGAGUUUAAUCACCAUUUGCAGUGUUUUAAUUCUGUCUUCCAAGUUGUGUUAGCAAUUUUUUUCUGAAUAUGAGAUUGACAAGACCUUGGGCAUUAAAGGGCCGGAGGACGUGGCAAAGCUGGGGAGUAAAGAACACAACAACCAGUGCAGAGGAAUUGUAAUGAGAUACUCAAAGGAAUGGGAGUUCAAUGCCACAAGAUUGGGACAGUGGAUUGAUUUUAAAAGUGACUAUAAAACUCUCUCCUGAAUUCAUGGAGUCUGUCUGGUGGGUUUUCAAGCAACUCUAUGACAAAGGGUUGGUGUAUAGAGGUGUUAAGGUCAUGCCUUUUUCAACUGCAUGCAGCACUCCACUGUCACACUUUGAGUCUCAUCAGAAUUACAAGGAUGCUCAAGAUCCAUCAGUGACAGUGAGCUUUCCACUGGAUGAAGAUGCAAGUGUUUCUCUUGUUGCUGGGACCACGACUCCUUGGACCUUGCCCAGUAAUCUGGCCCUUUGUGUUAAUGCAGAGUUGCAAUAUGUAGAAUGGAGAGAGAGUGCCACAGGACAGAUUUCCAUUUGGAUGGAAUCCAGGCUGGUAGCACUGCACAAACCUGAAAGUGAAUAGGAAAUACUUGACAGGUUUCCUGGCAUUGCUCUUAAAGGCAAGAAAUAUAAACCACUCUUUGACUAUUUUGUUCAGUGCAAAGAUAAAGGUGCCUUUGCUGUGGUAGUAGACAGUUACGUGAAGGAGGAAGAGGGCACAGGCGUUGUACACCAGGCUCCCUAUUUUAGUGCUAUACAGCAGCACUGAGUUUUCAUCAGUGAGCUGUUUAAUAGCUUCUGCUUCAUUCAUUUGGAUGAUGACAGAGUCUGCAUGGACUUGAAUAGAAUUCAGAAGGGUGCUGUGGCUGUUUGUGCCGUCGAUGCAUCUGGCUGCUUCACAGCAGAGGUGGCUGACUUGGCUGGACAGUAUGUGAAGAUGUGGUCAUCAAGCUUGUGCCAGCCAGGUAGUGUAACACGACUUGUCAGAGGAGAGAAGUCCACUCAUUUUCCCUACUUGUGGGAUGUGUUGCAAUGAUGCAGAUAAGAACAUCACUAAAGUACUGAAAGAGAAAGGGAGCCUGGUUCACAGCAGUAGUUUAAAGCACAGCUCUCCUUUCUGCUGGAGGUCUGAUACUCUGCUGACAGACAAAGCUGUGCCAAGCUGGUUUGUAAGAGUGGAACACAUGGUGGAGAAACUGCUGGAAUGUAAUGCCCAAUGCUACUGUAUGUGACCUUGCCUGAGUUGCCUGCUGUUGUGGUCUUCAAAGAUGGAGCUUCCUUUGUUUCUGAUGGUAAGUAAAAGUGGAUAUUGGCCAUAUCAUGGAAUCAGCCAGGCUGGAAGAGACCUCCAAGAUCACCCAGUCCAACCUAGCACCCAGCCCUAACCAAUCAACUGGACCCUGGCACUAAGUGCCUAACAACCAGCCUGUACCUCUCUUGGCACAACUUGAGACUGUGUCCCCUUGUUCUGUUGCUGGUUGCCUGGCAGCAGAGCCCAACCCUAGCUGGCUACUGCACUGCUCCUGUGCACUGCGGCCCUCCUCUGGACCUGCUCCAGCAGGUCCUUGUCUCUUCUGUUGGAGGUUCUGUAGCUGUGUGCAGUACUCCAGGUAGGUCUCACCAGAGCAGGGCAGACUCAGACUCACAGAGUCAAGCAGGUUGGAAGAGAGCUCCAAGCUCAUCCAGUCCAAUCUAGCCCCCAGCCCUGUCCACUCAACUGGACCAUGGCACUAAGUGCCUCACCCAGGCUGUUCCUGAGCGCUUCCAGACACGGUGACUCUGUGGUGCCACAGCAAAAUACUCCAGGUGGGCCCUCAAGGGUAUUCUUUGAGCUGUCAUGGAAGGGCUGUGCUUGCCUUCCUCUUCGCUCUAUUGCCUUGCAACCAGUCACCCACCAAAGAAAAGUUCACUCAGUGACCUCCUUGAUCUGCAUUUGAUUUAGUUUUACUUUUGAAGUGGCCUGGAGAAGGAAAUUUUGUCAAAGAGAAACAAUUUUAAACUGCUUUUUUGUGAUGUGACCUGUCUGCUUUUGCCACCCCUGUCAAAACACACAAGCCUUGUUUCAAUCCAGGCUCCUAAUUCACUUUGCACAAAUCUUACUCUCUUAAAAUGUAUUAGAAGGGUUUUUGUAAACCAGUCAGUGCAGAGGCCCUGCAAGAGACUGGAUAUUGUUUUAUGUGCAGCUUACCAUUGGGCAGGAAAGUGCUGUCAGUCACAGCUCCCUUCCCAUGUCACAUUCCCUGCUGGGAGAGGAUUGUUUGUCCUUGGUUUGGGUGAAACUAAUCAGCCAAUCAGCACUGCAUGCUGUGCUCUAAUACACUUUUUGUUCAACAGCUGCAAAUUGCUUUAGCAGCUUAGGAGUGACAUUUCUGGAAAGGUGAGAGACCUUGUCUGGAAACAGUAGAGGGUUAAAAAUAGGCUUCUCUAGGCUGAAAUAAAUGUUAUUGCCCACCUCACAGCAGCAACAGAAGAACACAUUCUGCUUGCUUGCUUGCUUUCUCUUUUGUUGUCAGAGUGUGAAGAUGGUGAUUUGUCAUCCUGGAUAAACAGAGCAAGAUUUCAAGGGUAUCUUCAUGUGGAUGGCUUUACACUUCAUGAACUUGGAGACAGAGGAAAACUUGUGGCUAUUGCAGUCAUUGAUGAUAAAAACUCUUCAGUGGAACAUACCAGGAACAGAACUGAGUGUUGGUGACAGUGUGGGAGAAGUUUGCUGAUAUGAUGUAGAGAACUUGGGGAAGUUUGUUAGAUCUGAAGAGAUGCCAGGGUGAAAACAAGAGAGGAGCAAGGCAGGAAGCACAAAAGCAAACCUCUCUCAUGAAGGAAACAGCACAACUGCAAGCACAGCUUUAAGCACAGCAUACCAAGGAGGAACAGAAAUCCCAAGCAGAGCAAAGGGGAGGAGUGGCUUAGAGAAAAGCAAAAGCACCCCACAAAGGACACAGCCAAAACACCACCCCACAAAGGACACAGCCAACCUACCCCCGCAAAGGGGAUCAGCCAAAGGCUUCUGCCUCUCCUGGGGCAGCUUAAAAAGGGGAGGUCAAUUGAAGUCUCCUCCCACCCCAGCUGUGGCUACUUUGCCCUCCCUGCUCAGUGCCCUUUAUAAGCAGAGCAGGAGGAGCCCAGCCCCAAGCUGGGCCCAUUGCGGGCCAAGGGAUCCUCCGCCUGGCAUCCCAGAAAGCAGGAGUCAGCCACCUGCCACCCAUCCCCUCCUGACCCCAACCCCAGAAACCCAAAGCAGCACUUGGCACAGGAGGUCUCUCGUGUUGCAGUCUCAACUUCAAGCCCUGGAAUACUUUGCUUCAGCCAGCAGCAUGGGGUUGGAUACCAACAGCAGAGUCGACUUAACCUGUGACUAAGUGAACUUUAAGUGUUCUGACUCCACAGUGGAACCUGAUAAAGAAAGAUGUGAAUGGAA